ensembl:lncRNA
GAGAAGUUAAGUGACUUGCCUAAGAUCACAUAAGUCAUAAAAAUCAAAGGCAAGGUUUGGACUUCAGCCUUGAGACUCCAAAGUCAAUGCUGUUUCCACUCUGCCAUCUUAGCGGAGUGGGGCAGGGAGAAGGACAAGAGGCUCCGAGCUGGCAGAAUAGCCUCUUGGUGGCCUCAGAAACCUACAAGACAGUCACAUUCAUUUAUAUGUGUAUCAUACACACACGGUGAGCAAAUUAGAAUUAUUCUGUCUCAUUUACUCAUUGACUCUAUUCUGAAAUCAACCCUAUUCCCCAUUUUGUCAAAGCCUGCUGGGGGCCAUCAGUCCAUGACACCUUGACAGAGUCACACAUGGUAUCUGGGAAGACCACAGAGUGGUCCUUGGUGAGAUGUGACUGCCCACUCUAUCCCCCUUGCAUGACUUCUUUCAUCAAUGCCCCUUACCUAUGAAUUGGCAUGAUUAUUAUUCCCCCUAGUCUCAAAAGAAUAAUGCAAGAGCAAAACACAUGUACCCUUAUUCCCCAAAACAUCACCAAAAGAUCAGACCUUCAAACCCAAUCCCAAAAGACUAUCAUGGGUUAACUUUUACUUGGGUACAUAAUUCCCAGCAAAACCGCAGCUACAGGCCAAGCCCAAAACUUUCUCAUGAAGCCAGCACACAAAUCAAUCAUAGAGGCCCAUAUGAUACAUACAGGUACAGUACAGGUACACUAAGCUUCAAUAUGUCUCAGUGACUCAAUUACACAAAUCAGUAACUCAAACUCCCUAGUAAGCCACCUGUGACGAAAUCAUUUAUCUUGUAUUCUGUCUGUAGUAGUAGUAGUAGUAGUAGUAGUAGUAGUAGUAGUAGUAGUAGUAGUAGUAGUAGUAGUCUCUCGGUAACCGAGGAUGACUAUUGUCUUUGUGUGUUUUUGUGCACAAAGACACUUGUGCGUGAAGGAGAUUUAAGUGGAAAAGUCGAUGCACAGAGACAGUCCCACUCUCUCAGAGUUGGAUGCCUGGGUCCAGUGGCACGAAAAAUCGUUACACCUGGAGACUUCCUCAGCUGCAUUGGAUGGCCGUGUUGUCCUUUGUGCUCCAACACGCCCUAAGCACUCCACAGUGCUUUUCUGCGUCGCCAUCUCAGCCGUUGAACCUUCUUAUUAGUUUCUUCCGUCUAUUCAGCCGAAGCAGUCUUCACAUGCUGGGAAUCCUGGAGUCGCGAGUGAGGCUGGACCCUGAUCAUGGCAUUCUGGUGCUGGAACAAGACCACUCCCAGCUAGGUAAGACCCCUUCCCCUAAACCUAAAAGUUUUGAACGGAUCAGGUUCUCUCCCCGGGGAAGAGGUCCCGGGCCCCCCUGAGGAUAGAGCAGGGUUUGGGGGGGUAGUAAUCCAGGGCCCCCACCAUAAGAGGAGUGGGUUCCAAAGCAGAGCAGUUUCAGAACAGGUAAAUUUAGGAGAAGAAAAGGGCCGCCAUGGGACACAGUGAAUUAAAAGAAAGCAAGCUAUUCACUGAAAUAAUUGAACAGUUUUCAGAAAAGGGGAGUAAAGGAGAGAAAAGCAAGCAAGUCACAGCUGACUAAGUACUUGGAGUUUAUUCAAAAUUGCAGUCUGUGGUUCCCCAAUGUAAGGAAGGUAGAUUUAGACACAGAAGAAAAAAUUAGCCCUGACUUAAAAUCUUAUAACAUCCCCGUUUGGGCUAAACAACCACCAGCAACCCCCCCACCUGAGGGAAGGAGGAGUGAAUGGACGGGAAUGAGGGGUCCCCCUCCUCCUCCACCUCCAUGACCCCCAGAUCCUUGGCUUUAGCAGAGAAAAGCCCAUUUUUCAACCCCUUGUCACCUGCCUUUUCGAAUAAGGCGUGUGGAGCCAAAAACUUUUUUUUACCUCUCACAGUUUUAAAGGGAUAGAUAGUACCUUGGAAACAUCAAGAUGGAUUUUUUCAUUCUUUCUUCUUCCUUUUUCUUUCUUCCUCAAGAUCUUGAGUAAACACCUUAACUCUUAAAAGCAUGCUUCCCUUAGUAUGUGUUUAACAUAUAUUAUGUGUGACUCCAUUUGUGUCUGCGUCAUAAGUUUUGUGUUCGUGUUUCCUUAGUUGGUCAUUUACAAAAAUUGCUUCAAAGCCCUCUGCUGAAAAGAGGUAAUUUGUGUUCCAUAAAUUUUCUCUCCUUUUGUUUUGGAAAAGGCCCAUCCAGAAAAAAAGGGGAAAACAUGAUUUGGUACACACAAAGGGAACUUUUAUCCCCAAAAUUGGCUAUUCUCUUAGAUUUGAUAUUAAAGAUCUAUAUAGGCAACCUUGGAAAACUGCUAAUUAGUCUGAAAAUGUACUGUGAUAAGUGGAAUUUAGGGUGAUAAUUGUGUC